AAAACCAAAGUAAUUGUCUAAUUACUUUCGACACUCAAUUGAAAACCGCUCCAUACCAUGCCAUAGGAAUUACAGUGGCCAAUACAAUCAAGACGACAUACGCGUAGUGCACGAUGGGAAGGUUAGGUGUACUGUACAUGUACUACCGUCGAGUGUACAAAAGCUUUCCUGUAUGCUGAUUGGCUGUAUUUUCUAUGCCAUGGUGUAACCGCAUACUUGAAUUGGUCAAUAUUCAGUUCAUCGUUGCUUUUACCGAGUGGAAUUUAUAUUUCUCUCCUAUCAAUUAAAUCUCAGACCAUUUCAAUUCGUCUCAAAUCUCUGUUAUCAGUUUUAAAAAUGCGUUAUUUUCCUAGCUGACCUGUAUACCACACAAUACUCACAGACCCUAGUUCCCAGCCUUGUCUGUUGCUGUGGUAAAGGCGUGGUUACAAAAGAAAAAAUGGCGGAAAAUUGGAAAAAGAUGCCGCUUGAUAAUAAACGAGAGUCUUGAAUGCACUUGUACCACGGUAUGGUGUUAUCAUGAGCGCGCAACCCUCAGUUCGUGUGUUGACUAGGUUAUGGCAUUGCGGACGUGUUUUUCGAAGACAGUGUGGGUGGCGAAUUCGCGGAAUCCAUCGUCGUGUUGUUGUCACUGGUCUGGGUCUGAUUACUCCUCUUGGAAUUGGUACAGAUAGAGUUUGGGAAAAUUUAGUGCAAGGAAAAUGCGGAAUAACAAAAAUACACAGGGAAGAUUUUAAAGGGAUUCCUGCACAAAUAGCUGCAUUUGUGCCAAGAGGUACAAAUCCAGGAGAAUUCAAUGAGAAACACUGGGAAAAGGAACUUAAAGUGGAUAGACGGAGCACCACAACAGAAGGCCUGUUUUCCAUUGUAGCUGCACAUGAGGCUUUUGAAGAUUGUAAUUGGAGACCAACUACGCAGCAACAGAAAGAAAGAACUGGUGUGUCUGUUGGAAUUGGAAUGACUGGCUUAAUGGACACGCUGGAAUCUGGAGAGGCACUUUACAAACAGGGAUAUCGCAAAGUGAGUCCAUUUUAUGUGCCGAGAGUUCUCCUGAAUUUGCCGGCAGGAGUUGUCAGCAUGGCCUUUGGCCUUCAAGGUCCAAACCACGCUGUAUCCACUGCUUGUGCGGCCAGUGCCCAUGCUAUUGGCGAUGCUUUUAGAAUGAUCCGUUAUGGAGACGCUGAUGUGAUGGUUGCAGGUGGAGUGGAAUCCUGCAUCAUGCCACUGUCCAUGGCAGGCUUCUGCAAAAUGCGCGCGCUCACCACCAAGUUCAAUGACCUUCCGCAGGAGGCAUCGCGGCCGUUUGACCGUCGGAGAUCUGGGUUUGUAAUGGGCGAAGGAGCAGGAAUCAUGAUUUUAGAGGAAUAUGAACACGCAGCCAGUCGUGAUGCUAGGAUUUACGCCGAACUUCUCGGUUACGGCCUGUCAGGAGAUGCUUAUCACAUAACAGCCCCAUCAGAGGGAGGGUACGGAGCAUAUUUAGCGAUGAAGAAUGCUCUCCGAGAUGCAGGGCUUAAACCAAAGGAUAUCCAUUACAUCAACGCACAUGCGACAUCUACUCCACUGGGAGAUGCUGGCGAGAACAAUGCCAUCAAAACAUUACUUGAAAGUCACUCCAAAAAUGUUCAAGUUUCCUCCACAAAAGGAGCUACUGGUCAUCUUUUAGGAGCGGCGGGCGCUGUUGAAGCUAUUUUUACGGUGCUUAGUGUCUACAAGGGCGUGGCAUCUCCUACAUUAAACCUUCACAACGUGGACUCAGAAGAGGAGUUUAACAUGAACUACGUUCCUCUCACGUCCCAGCAAUUUCACUCUCCUGAGCCGAGAACAGCACUGACGAACUCGUUCGGCUUCGGUGGCACAAACGCUUCACUGUGUUUCAGACAGUUCGUGCCUUCGUGAAAAUCUCCGGAGAGCUUCCAAUGAUGGUAUUACCCAAUCACAAAUACUUGAAAAAACUGUUCCUCGAGGUCAGUAAAAUGAAUCAGGUGGAGUCUCUCCAAGAAAAAAAAAAAGAGAAAGAAAAGAGAAGGAUUACAACGAUUGUGCUGGAUGUGUUCCUCUAUGGACUGUAAUCUUGUAAUCUUUAUUAGACCGUCUGUAAAAUGGACAAUCGGAUGUGAAAGAAAUGGUUUAAGUGCCCUUAUUUUAGGAGUUACAAUGGAAAUAAACAUCAAACUAAUCCUAUGCAAGUGUCUUGCAAAUUUCUUUUUUAAUAAGUGUCGUUGCCUGUCGUGCUCGAUUGUCUUCUGAAGUCCAUUUCUUUUCAGUCUGUUUACUUUGCUUGUUUGCUGUCGUUAACUAUUCAAUUUUCCAAUGAAUCUGAUGAAAUUAUUGAUUUCUUCGCGCCAGUCCAGCGGGGCACCAUUUAUUCCUUUCAUUCAUUGUGUAAUUGCAAAUUGAUUGGAGUCCUGCAGCAAAUAAAAAGUGCAAAGCUUUUCGCCAGGCGAUAAUUACCUAUCACCAUUAAUUAUGGUUGCUAUUUCUUGAUUACGUUUUCGUAUUUAGGGGAAGUCGGAAAUACCGACUGCACUAUAUUUAUAAUAUAAUUUUUCGCAGUUUUCCUCUCUUCGCGUGUGGUUUGUUUUCCUUCUCUUCUUAAUCAAUCUUUCACUUACAAUCGCCGGAUUGGCAAACCUGAUCUCUAAUUUCACUCCAAAGUUGUGCUUUAUAAGAAAUGUCAAAUGUUUACAUGACCAAUAUGUCACACUAAUCCACUGAAAGGCUAAAUGCGAUAUUAAAACUGGUGAAUAUUGCCAUGCAGGUUUAUAAGAAAUGACAUUAGCUUACUCAAAAUGUUUGCGGAGCAAGUUGUUGAAAAGAGUAGCGGUUUUAUCAAGACGUUAGGAAAGAAAUAAUUCCCAGAUCCUUUUUGGUAAAUUUAAAAACUCUAUAGCGCUGUUCUCGACUAUUUUAUUAAUAUUUUCGUUGGCUAGUUAUUGCGUUAUGCGGUGUUUGUCCAGAAGAAAAAUAUUUACUGAGAUGAAUUUGUUUCGUUUAAUUGAAACGUGGGAAAGUUGCUUAGCAUUGGUUCCCUCAGAUUCCCGAAACGACUGGCGUGUAUUCUUUUUGAAGAGGGUAUUCUGUGGCGGGAUGAUUAUAUUUGUAGAGAGAUACGUGUUUAUAAGCAGGUUUCAACCGCAAAUGGCACUGUAUAAUAGGCAAACACCUGAAAUUCAGACAGGUUUUAACCACAAAAUAUUAAAUUAUUAAUGAGCAUGCCAUUUUUGUGCCCAAAAACCUUGCACGUCCAAAUUCACACUUUUUAAUCACCUUUCUUUUGAACAGAGGUACUUCAUUCAUUGGUAGAACCAAGUGACUGGAAUUCCUUCCAUUCAGACUGAUCAUUACUUUAUAGUCCUGCAGCCCACAAGUUGUAAUUAGGGAAAUUUUGGUGUCUAGACGCGAACAUAGAGGGUCUCAUCCUUGUGCAAACGGGAGGGUAGAUAACGGGUCUAAAUGUCAUUGUCUGGUGGAAUUGCAUUGCGGCAAAAAAAAAUCAACACUGGGUAUGAUAGCUGCAUUUGCAUUCACUAGCGUGCACUUUUAUGAACAUCUUCCUGUUGAUUAUCUGUUGAAAUAAUAUCUUGAAAUGUGAUUUCUCGUGAACAAAGCCUUUGGUAACAAGUGCACUUCUCCGCAGAGAAUUGAGUAACAAGAACUGUCAACAACUCAGUUUUAUUGUUUAAAGGAAUUUCGCCCACACUGUAAGAUUUUGGAUUGUGACGCAAUUCAUUCGGAAUCGAUUGGAAUCGUGGAAAUAACUGCUGGUUUUUGGCCGUGUAUCACCGUAUACCGGAGGAAUAUUUUGUUUACCUAACGCUACUGAAUAACAUAAAGUGAAUAUCUGGACUUAUGGAACGACCACUGAGCCUCGUCUUUACGUUUCAAGAGGCAACAUGAAAGAGUUCAAGCCAUGGAAUUUGACUACACGAGGUUUACUGGCCUUUCGUGAUGUUGCCUCAGUAUGCUUUUUAUGGCUGAUCCUGAAGGGAAUUAUAAUCCUUGGUUUAACAAGGAAUGCGACAAGUUUCUCAACAAGCGAUGUCAGUUCAUUUGGCUCUAUGUCGUCUGUACUUGCAACUGCUGUUGCCCCAGAGACAACGUCAAGGACAGGAAUAUUCAAUCAGUCAAGGACAGAAACAAGCAUUCCUUAUAGUGAAUCAUUUUCUUCUUCUAGGGUAGUUGAUAGUAUCGCACAAACCACUCGUAUUUUUGUAUCGUCUUCACAAAAUACAGCUUUCAAUGCUGCAACAUCAUCCAUCUCGUUUAAUCCACAUUCACCGUCAUUUCGAAUAUCCAGCGUCAUGUACAGUAACUCGCCCGAGGUCACUGACAGCCUUGUAUCCGAAAGAACAGAAUUGUAUUCAACAACAAAUGUAAAUAACAUUAACAAGACACAACUUGCUAGCGGCCAUACAACAUUAUUUCAAGAAGUAUCGUCAAUCGCAAGUUCAGCAAACCUUGUGCCAUCAUCCACAAAUAUGGUGAAACUAAGCACGCUCAAGCGUUCAACAAUUGCAGAACAAGAAAGUACAUCUGUAUUGUCACUCUUGGGUUCUUCGUCAACGUCCACAAUUGCAUCCAUUCUUGUGAAAAACACAGAGGAACGUAGUUUCUCCGCUGUCGCAUCAAUCUCAAGCCAGGUACUUGAUCAGAGUACACCUGUACUGACUUCUGUGUUUUCUGUGUUAGAUUCAUUAUCAUCAUUAUCUUCACCAGAGUUAUCGUCACUCAAUGUUGUUUCACGUACAACAGCGACGGAUGAGACAGUAAAUUCAAGGCAGACAACAAGGCAAAUUUUACCUCCAUUGUCUUCAACGCCUUCUUUGCUGGAGGUAUCAUCAGCAUUCUUUGUUUCCUCAAGUAGUGUUUCAACUAAACAAAGAAAUAGUUCAGAUGGUAUUUCAAUAAGCUCCAAAAAGUCGUUACUUCAAAGUACAUCUGCGUUGUACUCCGUGUCUAAUUUGCUGGAUUCGUCGUCACCAUUUGGCUCAUUAUCGAAAGAUUCCACCGUUAC
rnacentral:misc_RNA from 1 species